UUCAGGCCUAACACAUGCAAGUCGAGCGGUAGCACAGAGAGCUUGCUCUCGGGUGACGAGCGGCGGACGGGUGAGUAAUGUCUGGGAAACUGCCUGAUGGAGGGGGAUAACUACUGGAAACGGUAGCUAAUACCGCAUAACGUCGCAAGACCAAAGAGGGGGACCUUCGGGCCUCUUGCCAUCAGAUGUGCCCAGAUGGGAUUAGCUAGUAGGUGGGGUAACGGCUCACCUAGGCGACGAUCCCUAGCUGGUCUGAGAGGAUGACCAGCCACACUGGAACUGAGACACGGUCCAGACUCCUACGGGAGGCAGCAGUGGGGAAUAUUGCACAAUGGGCGCAAGCCUGAUGCAGCCAUGCCGCGUGUAUGAAGAAGGCCUUCGGGUUGUAAAGUACUUUCAGCGGGGAGGAAGGUGCUGAGGUUAAUAACCUCAGCAAUUGACGUUACCCGCAGAAGAAGCACCGGCUAACUCCGUGCCAGCAGCCGCGGUAAUACGGAGGGUGCAAGCGUUAAUCGGAAUUACUGGGCGUAAAGCGCACGCAGGCGGUCUGUCAAGUCGGAUGUGAAAUCCCCGGGCUCAACCUGGGAACUGCAUUCGAAACUGGCAGGCUAGAGUCUUGUAGAGGGGGGUAGAAUUCCAGGUGUAGCGGUGAAAUGCGUAGAGAUCUGGAGGAAUACCGGUGGCGAAGGCGGCCCCCUGGACAAAGACUGACGCUCAGGUG
rnacentral:rRNA from 1 species